GACAGAGGCCCCAAGCGUUAGGCGGAAUUACUGGGCGUAAAGCGUGCGCAGGCGGCGCGUUAAGACAGGUGUGAAAGCCCCGAGCUUAACUUGGGAAUUGCGCUUGUGACUGGCGUGCUGGAGUGUGGCAGAGGGAGGUGGAAUUCCACGUGUAGCAGUGAAAUGCGUAGAGAUGUGGAGGAACACCGAUGGCGAAGGCAGCCUCCUGGGCCAGCACUGACGCUCAUGCACGAAAGCGUGGGGAGCAAACAGG
rnacentral:rRNA from 1 species